UUACGAAUCAUCAGUGGUAUGAAAUGCCCAUGAUACUAGAGUAAAAAGCUAUGGAGCUUUCAUUUGGAGUGAUUUGAAACAGAUUUCAAGUGAGCAUGUAAUGUUUGUGUAAGAAUACAAGUUUUUAUUUAGUGUAAAAAUGUUGUCAUUCGUCAAAUGAUAGAAAUUGAAACUGAAGGGUUAUGACAGAAUUAAAAUUUUUUCCACGUAUGUAAGGUAGUUGUGUAAGUUUCUCUCAACUAUUCAAAAAAUCAGCCUGUUCCAAAAAUACACGCUGAUUGGACCAACGUGCAACGCGAAAAAUUAGGCCAUCUGCUGGGAUACCGGAUAGAGAGACGUCUAUCAGACGGUCUCGAGACAGGAGACCAUUGAGAUGAUUACGAGGAACCAGAAUGCAGCUAGGAUUACACCGGCUCCAGGCGAAACUCAAGAGCUCGUACCCUGCAAACUCCGAAUUUGCCAUCCAUGCAGGAAUCGUUAGCUCUUCUGUCUGGUCCUUCUAGUUGUCCAACUUUUGAUAACGCUAUGUCUAGUGCCAACAUAACUGCACAACUGAUUAUCAGUUCUCCAGUUCUACCAUGCUCUUACCUGUAUAAUUUACAACUGGAAGCGGCAACAUCUCUAUGAAUAUUCUACAAUUCGAUACUGUAAAUGACUUAAGAGAGGGGCCAAUUCUGCUGGAGCUAUGCCAAGUGACGCCAACCGUUAUAGGUAUGAUCCUUGAUCCUCGAGCUGAAAACCGGCAGCGUUGGAGAGCCGCUUACCCAGCUAUUAGACGACCAAUUUGCAUAUUCUAUCGUCCUGCAAGCGUUAGUAGUUCUGUUAUUGGUGUAACUUCACCCUUCAAAAUGCCUCUGUAAUAUUACGCCCACGCUGUUCGUAGAACUUCUAGAUUGUCAGCGUAGGAAGGUGUCGUAAUAUACAUUACCCAAACACAUGCCUUUGGCAUCUAUAUAUUCGAUUAACUUAUACUAUGAUUAGUUAACCAAUUGGAAUAUCUCUUCUUUGGCUGUACAAGUUUGCAUCCUAAUUUUCCGUUCCCUCAUCGAUUCGAUUACCUAUACAGUAGAAUAAAUGAACGAUUCGUUAAUAACACAGGCCUGUGAUGGUUUUCCCCGCACAAAACUGAUUGUGAGUACAGUAAUUUCGGUAGGUAUUAGAUACGAAUCUGUGAAAAAAAUAUUUUGAAAAUUGUAUCACGUAAAU